rnacentral:rRNA from 1 species
CCCAGACUCCUACGGGAGGCAGCAGUGGGGAAUAUUGCACAAUGGGGGGAACCCUGAUGCAGCGACGCCGCGUGAGUGAAGAAGUAUCUCGGUACGUAAAGCUCUCUCAGCAGGGAAGAACAAUGACGGUACCUGACUAAGAAGCACCGGCUAAAUACGUGCCAGCAGCCGCGGUAAUACGUAUGGUGCAAGCGUUAUCCGGAUUUACUGGGUGUAAAGGGAGCGCAGGCGGCGCGUUAAGCCUGGUGUGAAAGCCCGCGGCCCAACCGCGGGACUGCAUUGGGAACUGGCGCGCUGGAGUGCCGGAGGGGUAGGCGGAAUUCCUAGUGUAGCGGUGAAAUGCGUAGAUAUUAGGAGGAACACCAGUGGCGAAGGCGGCCUACUGGACGGUGACUGACGCUGAGGCUCGAAAGCGUGGGGAGCAAACAGGAUUAGAUACCCCCGUAACU